rnacentral:rRNA from 1 species
AGGAUGGGGACAACAGACGGAAACGACUGCUAAUACCGAAUAAGUUCCAAGAGCCGCAUGGCCCAUGGAAGAAAAGGUGGCCUCUACCUGUAAGCUAUCGCCUGAAGAGGGGUUUGCGUCUGAUUAGCUGGUUGGAGGGGUAACGGCCCACCAAGGCGACGAUCAGUAGCCGGUCUGAGAGGAUGAACGGCCACACUGGAACUGAGACACGGUCCAGACUCCUACGGGAGGCAGCAGUGGGGAAUCUUCCGCAAUGGGCGAAAGCCUGACGGAGCAACGCCGCGUGAGUGAUGACGGCCUUCGGGUUGUAAAACUCUGUGAUCCGGGACGAAAAGGCAGAGUGCGAAGAACAAACUGCAUUGACGGUACCGGAAAAGCAAGCCACGGCUAACUACGUGCCAGCAGCCGCGGUAAUACGUAGGUGGCAAGCGUUGUCCGGAAUUAUUGGGCGUAAAGCGCGCGCAGGCGGCUUCCCAAGUCCCUCUUAAAAGUGCGGGGCUUAACCCCGUGAUGGGAAGGAAACUGGGAAGCUGGAGUAUCGGAGAGGAAAGUGGAAUUCCUAGUGUAGCGGUGAAAUGCGUAGAGAUUAGGAAGAACACCGGUGGCGAAGGCGACUUUCUGGACGAAAACUGACGCUGAGGCGCGAAAGCGUGGGGAGCAAACAGGAUUAGAUACCCUGGUAGUCCACGCCGUAAACGAUGGAUACUAGGUGUAGGAGGUAUCGACCCCUCCUGUGCCGGAG